rnacentral:rRNA from 1 species
UCGGGCCUGCUCAAUGAUUUUGGAUUAAAUAGCCGCAGUAUAUUGACUGUGCGAAGGUAGCAUAAUCAUUUGUCUUUUAAUUGAAGGCUUGUAUGAAUGGUUUGAUGAAGGAAUGACUUUCUUUACAUUAUAAAUUGAAUUUAAUUUUUUAGUUAAAAAGCUAAAAUUUUUAAAUGGGACGAGAAGACCCUAUAGAAUUUUAUUUUACUUAUAAAGAUAAUGAUUUGGUUUAAUAAUUUUUAUUUUUAUUUAUGUAAAAUUUUGUUGGGGUGACAUUGAGAUUUAUUGAACUCUCAUAAUAAAGUUUUUAAUGAUUAUUAUUUUUAUGAUCCUAUUUUAUAGAUACAUAGAUUAAAUUACCUUAGGGAUAACAGCGUAAUUUUUCUGGAGAGUUCUUAUCGAUAGAGAAGUUUGCGACCUCGAUGUUGGAUUAAAAUUAGAUUUAAGUGCAGCAGCUUAAUUUCUAGG